rnacentral:rRNA from 1 species
UACGGGGGGGGCAAGCGUUGUUCGGAAUUACUGGGCGUAAAGGGCUCGUAGGCGGCCAACUAAGUCAGACGUGAAAUCCCUCGGCUUAACCGGGGAACUGCGUCUGAUACUGGAUGGCUUGAGUUUGGGAGAGGGACGCGGAAUUCCAGGUGUAGCGGUGAAAUGCGCAGAUAUCGGGAGGAACACCAAUGGCGAAGGCAGCUCGCUGGGACGGUACUGACGCUGAGGCGCGAAAGCGUGGGGAGCAAACAGG